rnacentral:rRNA from 1 species
CCCUUAGAGUUUGAUCCUGGCUCAGGAUGAACGCUAGCGGCAGGCCUAAUACAUGCAAGUCGAACGGGCCAGCAAUGGUCAGUGGCGCACGGGUGCGUAACGCGUAUGCAACCUACCUCCUACUGGGGGAUAGCCUUCCGAAAGGAAGAUUAAUACCGCAUAACAUCACAUGAGGGCAUCUGAGUGUGAUCAAAGAUUUAUUGGUAGAAGAUGGGCAUGCGUGACAUUAGCUAGUUGGUGCAGGUAACGGCUCACCAAGGCUACGAUGUCUAGGGGUUCUGAGAGGAUGAUCCCCCACACUGGUACUGAGAUACGGACCAGACUCCUACGGGAGGCAGCAGUAGGGAAUAUUGGGCAAUGGGCGCAAGCCUGACCCAGCCAUGCCGCGUGCAGGAUGAAGGCCUUCUGGGUUGUAAACUGCUUUUAUCAGGGAAGAAAAAGCUCCUGCGGGAGCAACUGACGGUACCUGAGGAAUAAGCACCGGCUAACUCCGUGCCAGCAGCCGCGGUAAU